rnacentral:rRNA from 1 species
AUACGUAGGUGGCAAGCGUUAUCCGGAUUUAUUGGGUGUAAAGGGUGAGUAGGCGGGCUUGUAAGUCAGAUGUGAAAUGCAGCUGCUCAACAGCUGAAUUGCAUUUGAAACUGCGGGUCUUGAGAGUCGGAGAGGUAAUUGGAAUUCCCAGUGUAGCGGUGAAAUGCGUAGAGAUUGGGAGGAAAACCAGUGGCGAAGGCGGAUUACUGGACGACAACUGACGCUGAUACACGAAAGCGUGGGGAGCAAACAGGAUUAGAUACCCUGGUAGUCCACGCGGUAAACGAUGAAUGCUAGGUGUUGCGGGUAUCGACCCCUGCAGUGCCGGAGUAAACACAAUAAGCAUUCCGCCUGGGGAGUACGGCCGCAAGGUUGAAACUUAAAGGAAUCGACGGGG